AUAUUCAGAACAGCAGACGAUCUAACUUCGUUGAAAUGUCAAGUCACUAUUGGUAGACAAAAAGUUUCUUUAGCUAUCUUUCAACAAUCUGUAAAAUAACUUAGAUAGUGUUCUAAAGCACUCUUCCCUUCUACGUUUCAAUUCACCGUGUCUGCGCAUUCUCUCUAAAUUCAGUUUGUCACCCUACUUGAUAGCUUGUGUUUAUUGACUAAGCUGGAAAAUUGUGCAUACGACGAUGACCAAGGGACUGAUAAUUCAUACUGCUCUAUGAUGCCUUGAAAGUUCAGCUGUAUAAAACAUUGGCUAAUGGGGAUGCUGAGAUACUUUCUCCAUUGGAAUUGUCAUCUCUUCUAGUCCCAGAGGAAUGCAAAAAAAAAAAAAAAAUACUAUAAAUUAUCUCUUUCAUCUCCUCAAUCAGAAUUUAACAAAUUGUCCUUGACAGCAGGUAUAUGAAAUGCUAAUGCUUUUAAUAUUUUUAGGUUGAUUAUGAGAAGCCCUCUUCCGUCAUCCGAUCCAUUGACGACAUUUCGAUUCGUCAAUAUGGUUUACCAUGGAGAAGGCCGGAUUGUCUUUCACAACACUGUGUUCUGUAGAUUUACGAUAUUAAAACGAUACUAAGAACAUAGGUUUGUUAAUUAUUCUAUUAUACCUCAACUUUUUAUUACUGCAGACUGGUGCCACCAAGCGGAUUAGCUCCAGUCAGGCUUCAGCAAUCAGCAUACUCCCACAAAUUUAGCAUGUCGAUGUUUCUCCCAUCAUUCUCCUUCAUGAUAGAACUGAUACUUUGAAGAGUAUGGAUCUCUGCAAAAGAAGUUAAUUUAGUUAAAUAUGAUUUGAUACUGGAUAAUUGUAGAUAUGAACGAAUUUUUGUUGUUCAAACCAAAAACAUCAGUGGAAGCACAGGCCUGUGGUAGCAGCAAUGGCAAAAAAAAUGUUUUUUCGUAACUCAGUGUUGUGUGAAAAUUGGGAACAGUGGAUUUUCCAGGAGAACAUUUAUAAUUCAAACUAUUUUUGUUAGUGGCAAGCAUGUGAAAAUAUCUAUAUUUAAUAGUGAAAAGGAAGCAUUAAUAAAUGCUUGGACGAAUGAGAAUUUAUUUGUUAACCAACAUUGCUGCCAAAGGAAUUUUGUCACAUAAAGUAGAUGGCAGUGCACAUGUAGAUAGCAGUGCAUCUAAGAUUUUUUGGUCCCGAUCUAGUGGAAUUUACAUUCGUCUGAAGUGUGCCAUCGCCAUUGUGAACGAAGCAUGGGUCACUACAAAUCAUCUUCUGAUACGUUGUCCGGUUUUUAAAAAUCUUUUAUUACUUUAAUAUGUCUUUUUGUAAUUCCUUGGGCAUUAACACUCUCUAAUCAACAAAGAAACUGCUUUUCUCAUGUUACUUUUACCAAUUUUUUUAUACUCGUACAUUUAGUUGAUUAUAGAAAACAUCUUGACAUUCACACGAAUGCCUUUGUCUUAUCUGAUCGUGUUAACAUGCUGAUUCGUUCUUGCCACUGGCCGAAGCCAUUUUGUCAAAUUUUGCAUCUUUCCAAAAUUUAAUCACACACAAGCAUUCUGGCAUGUGUCAGGCAACGGGUUACAGGAAUGGCAUGGUCCCCUUUUGGUGUUGAGCCUGGCCUACACCCUCGGUUAUUGAAAAUGGUGUUGGAACAAGUAAUUACAUGGAGCUGGAGCGUCAAUUUGGGACUUGAUUUGUCAUCUGUUGGUUGACGUAGGAAAACACAGAUUGAACCCACCAUUUUAUUCCCACACUUAUCAUUGGAAUUCUGGGAUGGUAGCUGUUGUUGCAGGACACUCCUUGGUUCAUUAGUGAGGUUCCAGAAAGCAGCAUUCCAAGAGCAAGAAUACAAUUUGCCGGCUGUCAACACAAUAUAGAUUGUUUAACUUUGUUUUCUUGCCUUGGUGGUGAAAUUGAAUUAUAUUGAGAUUUAAAACA
rnacentral:lncRNA from 1 species